ACUGAUGCUGCACCAUCGAGUCCCUGGUGCAGAGGUGCUUCCAACACCUCCAUCACUAAAUGAAGCCAAUGUCCUAGAAAUGGCAACUCUGGAGCCAGGGCAACAGAGAGGGGCACCAUGGCCAGCUGGGAUGAGGACAGCCCUGACAAGCCCUUCCCAGCAGGAAAGCUGGCAGAGGGCACAGGUCCAGGGAGGUCUGCCAGGCUGGACUACAGAGCAUUCAGAGCCAAGUCAAGCCAAGAAAGGCCACCCAGCCAUCUGAGGCACAUCUAAUGGACUUAAGAAGUUCCAGCAGUUAUGAAAUGGUCACUUCCAAGGAUCUAUGCCACAGGCCUGCACAAGAGGUAGACAUGAAAGUUUCCAAUGUCAGAGUGAACAGAGGUGGAUAACAAAUUAAAACAAAGGAUUAUAAACAAACUGUCAUGAUUUUUAUGUGACUCUGAUGGAUCAAAAAUUAGGAUUAAGGCCAACGCAAAAUAAAUCACUUGGAAACUGGAAUCAGAGGGAACAUGUGUGCCCCACAUAAACACAAAAAUCCAAUUUAUACAUAUAAAAAUGAAUCAGAGAGACUUAGAGGAGUAGCAAGUAUUGCCAACCUUGCAUUACAAUCUGCAUUAAUAAUGUCUGAUUUAAUGCCAAAUCUUCAUGAUUAGCAGAAAGUUUGAUUUUUGAGAGAGGAAGAUCAAAUUCAGGUUACUUCUCAGCCUGAGCAAACGCAGUAUGAACAUUCAGUCUGACAUUAUAAAUAGCCAUGAUUUCAUCAUAAAUAUGGGAAAAAUGAAGGACUUCUAAGCCUACAAGAGAAUACCCACAAAACCAGGUAAUCACAUCCCUGCUGGAUGGGUGAGUGCUGUGUUAAGCAUUCUCCCUAGCAGAUAUAAAGGAAUCCAUAAUAUAGCCAUGGGAAAAAAAAUCAACAGUGAGUUUUAUUUCUAUGUUCUCACAUGGAUACUCCUGUGCAUAACUGUGAAUGAGCUGAUACUGCAGCCACAAUUGCAGAGUCAGUGGGGAAACUAAGUCCACUGGAAGCUGUUUGACUAGUUGCACUGCACAUUUAGGAUUUCAGUUUUCCCAAGAUGCAGCAUUUUGGUGGUGUCCCAGCUCCUGACUCCAGGGGUUCCCCUCUACUUCCAAUCAGCACCAGCCCCAGACUGGAGAUCUAAAAUUCUUUUCUCAGAAUAAAAAAAGAUUAACCACACAGCUGGUAAGUGCUUGGAUAGCUUGAUUAUCAUAGCUUUUCUUGACCAAGAAUUGCUUCUGUGAGUCAGAAAAACAACCAUAGCAAGAGGUCCUCCUGAUCCUGCCCUGAGAUUGGUGUUAGGUUGCAGCAGCACUGACGUCCAUCCAUCAGGCUCUGGCCACAAAGCCUGGGCACAGCACCCUCAUCUGCUGAACAUUCAACACCAGAAGAAUAAAACCCCUCCUGGAAAAGCAACAUUCUGCAAGUUAUAAAAAAGGCUUACGUGGAUAAGUGCUAGCCUGAGGAACAAAUGUAUGGUGAAGAAGAAGCCCCAGCAAUGCACUUAAGCACUGUUUACUGGCUUUUAGGAGAAGAAGGCUCUUAAACUUGACAGACACCCUGGAAAAGCUCUCCUGAACAAAGCACUACAGAAAAUGUUAAGCUGUUAAUCAUGGUAAUAGAUACCUUAUGUAGACAAUUAGAGGAAAGCAGAGGAGAUUGAAAAGGGUAGUGGCAUCUGCCCUCCUCAUUACAAUGAAGUGUACCAGCAGCCUCCUCACCUGGCACCAGGCACAAGGGAAAAAUGCACAGACUGCUGAGUCUAACUCCCUGUGGAAACUCAUCUCAGGACACAGAGCAGACCUUACCAGGAGCUCAUGGCACUAACUGGGUCACAGGGUUCCUCUCACAGCACAUCACGGUGCUCCAAAGCACAAUGAGGCAUCAGUUACCACCAGUUAUUCCUUCUGCCUGGAGAUGGUCAGUGAAUGAACACCACGGAGAAUCGUGACUCGACAGGCAAAACGAUGAAUUAAUAUGGUGCUGGCAAUGAACAAAACUUUUAAUUGUCUUAAGAUGCAGCAUUUUAGCUCAGGGUGAAUAUGAACACCUCGCCUGGUGAUCCCCUUCAGUUGCACGCACUGCUACCUAGCCUUCAGCUGCCAUGUGCUCCCCGAAAGCAGCCAGGUGAGCCCGUGCUCCUCAAACCCACCUUCUGCCACUCGCUCUCCUGAGCAGCCUGUGGGCAGUCAGGGCUUGGAAUGGACUUGGCCCAGCAGAACAUGGGGAAGAGUACACAGCAAGACAGGCUGCCCCACACAGUAACCUGCUCAAGUCACUACUGACCCUCAGCCACCUCUGCCACCUUCACCCAUCUGCGAGAUCAGAGAGCUCCCACUACCCGGCAUGUUCCUACUGCAGCAAAUGUUGUGGUCAUGAGCAAAUACAGACUUGGGUCACCUCUGUACUCCCACAUACCAGACCAUUAAGUUGGAACUCACAUUCUCCGAACAGGCAGAAUCCAGCCUUUGGCUAAAAUAGCCUCUAGGCACCAACAGAGUGAAUGCCUAAGCUAUUUUUUCAAAGAGAGUACAGUUCUUGUGGGAAAUACAAACCAUCCUUUUUCAUUUUAAUGAUGGUUGAAGUAAUUUCUGAAUGAAGCUUGAAAAACAAUUAUCUUGAUUUAAAGGUGCUGCUUAAAUGUAAACCUGAAUGCUGCAUCUUAAAUGACAGCUGCUAGUCUCAAGACACAAAGGUAGUUGAGGGAAAUGAAGCAUAGUCCCACAAAAGUGGAUUUGGUGCAGCAGCCUCUGAAUUCCCACUGCUGACAGAGAGCUCAAUAGGCAUCUUUCACACAUUCUAUUUUGUUCUUUUGUUUAUUUGUUGAACAGAGUUUACUGUCUUCAAGAUGCCAGCAGGACCUUAAGAAGGCUUCUGCCCUUUUGAAGUCUCCCUACUUCCUCCUACACUCAAAGAGAAACCAUUUCUCUUUCCACUUCCAUCCCACAACUCUCAAUUUCUAUAACUUGCAUAACUGAUUAGGAAGUGCUGACAGCAGAGUGCAGUGAGCCUCCCAGUGCAUCCCCCACCUCCAGACCUUUCCUCUAGGGAACAGCUUCCCAAGAGUUCCAGCGCAGUUUCUAUUUAAAAGAUUCAGACCCUGCCAGAAGGAGCUGGGUUGUCAAAUUUCAAAACUGUGCUCUCUACACAGUACUCAGAUGUGCUUCUGCAGUAGUAAAUGUUAGCUCUCCCUUGUGGCAUGCACUUACCUUCGAAACCUUGCACCAAGCCUCUUCCUCUCUCUGUUCCUAUUCCUCACUUCCAAUCCAGACACAGUCUCCUUCUAAGAGAAAUAGUGAAGGAACAAGAAGCAGUGACCACUUGAGGAAUGGGGAAACAAGCCUCUACCCAGAUGGGGUCCAGAGAUCCUCAUCAGUCACUAUCACUCAUUCUACCCAACAAAAAAAUGCCCACAUUAUGAGCCUCCUUGCAAGCCUUGGAGCCCAUCUUCACCAUUCCAGCACGGACUUGGCUAUCCAGUUUUUUCAAAUCCCUGACUUUGCUUUCACAGAGAGCUAAACCAAGCAUCCACACAUUGUUCUUAUCAAAACCCAGGGGGUUUUCAGAAGACCCAAUGGACAGCAAAGGUCUUGUCUGAGAAAUAACAGGCUAAUGAAAGAGACUGUCUAGUGCCAUUACAGCAGUGCAAUACAGAGCCCUUUCCAGCAAGUACUGAAGAACCCAAAUUAAACACUGCCGUAUUGCUGUAUGGCAGCAAUCCACACAGAAGACUGGGUUCAUUUCCCAGGUCAGGAAAGGUUUUCCCUGCUGCUGGGAUGUACUAGUAUUUGCAGCACCAUUUUAUCUAAAAUCUUCACAAGACUGCAGUGGAGAGCUUCAGGGAACAGGCUCUGCUGAAGAGCCACAGACCUGGUAAUCAAAGUGCACUGCAGGGGAGAGGCAGACAGAGUCAGGGUGGACUGAGGUGUGAGCACAAAAAAAUGUCAAGAGCUGGCAGAAGGUUAACAGAGUAAUAUGGUAGGGAACAUCAGCCACCCCUCUGUGUGCAGCCACAGCUGCCUGAGCCACAUCCUGUGACCGAGGAGAGCAUCAACAACAAACCUCCUGUGAGCCAGCACGACUGGCGGAGGAAUUUUCCCACAGUAAAGAUCACAUUCAUCGCUCUGUGUCAGGAACAAUAUUGCAUUGUAACGGCCCUGGGAUUCCAGCAGAUGGAAGAACACAUUCAACCUCAACCACGAAGAAACUCUGAGCUAAAAUGGUGAAGUGCAACGCUCCUUUGGCUGCACUACAGCACAGCACAUUUUAUAGCUGUUACCCACAUGGCCAGCACAGUGACAUGAACUCAAAUGAAGAAUGGAGACUAAAUCUUAAUAUACCUGAAAAAGGACAGAAACCCCCAAGCAUCAGAUAAAAAUAAGUGUCUGAAAUUUAUGGAUGUAUAUGAUCAAAACAAAAUUUAUAAAACAGAAAAUAAAUAAAGACAUAAGAAAAAGAAGAAAAAAGAAAAAGAAACACUUAAGAAGAAUUUGAAGUGUUUUCUUUACCUCUACAAUCUCACAGAUCUGCCUGUGGGAAGGGAAUACGGUGAUGGCCAUGCAGACAACAUUGCAAACGUCACUGCUUUAAAAAAAAUAAACAAACAUUUUCAAAUA